GUUGCUUGGUCUACAGUUUUCUGCAGGAAUUUCCUUAGGCAUGGGAGGACACAACAAAUGAGAAGAGCGAGAAUAAAAAGAAAAAUUAGUAAGGCAAUACCAAUCUGGACUAAAGCUCUCUGCCAACCAGUCAUCCAACCAAACCAUUUUUCCCAGGGAUCAGUAACUCCAGAGUUUCUCUUUAACUCCUCUGAGAGUCUAUUUAAUUUAGCUAUGGCUAGAGUGACUUUACCAUUAGGACCUGUGUUUUCUGGAAUGUAAGUGCAACAAGUCAUAGUGUCGGGAAGUAUUUUACAGACUCCCCCUUUUUCGGCUAAGAUCAUGUCUAAGGCCAGUCUGUUCUGGAAGGUCAUUUGGGUUGUGGCCUGUAAUUGCUCGGCCAAGCCCUGGAGGGCAUCCCUGGUGUAGUUCACGAAGCGCUGUUGGUUGUAAUAGAUAUAAUUAAUCCAAUUAAGGUUUUUGUUGGCAGUGACUAUGGUAAAAAGUGAUUCAAAACCUGCAGCUACUUCAUCUCUAGCUUUAAAUUCAUUAGGUACCCCCCUAGGCACCCCAAUGGCAUCUAUGUAAAUGUGGGGGUCAAAACUGCC